GGGAGACUACGACUCGAGCCUAGAUGUUAUCAUGCAAAUCAUCCCUAAGUUAAGGUUGCUAUCUAACUUGCACAGGGAGCAUACAAAGGGAGACACAACUAGGGAGACUACGACUCGAGCCUAGAUGUUAUCAUGCAAAUCAUCCCUAAGUUAAGGUUGCUAUCUAACUUGCACAGGGAGCAAGCUAUCCUAAGCAGCACAGGCAAAAGAAAACA
rnacentral:lncRNA from 1 species